rnacentral:rRNA from 1 species
AUUAGAUACCCGGGUAGUCCCGGCCGUAAACGAUGCGCGUUAGGUGUACUGGUGACCACGAGUCACCGGGGUGCCGAAGGGAAACCGUGAAACGUGCCGCCUGGGAAGUACGGUCGCAAGGCUGAGACUUAAAGGAAUUGGCGGGGGAGCACCACAACGGGUGGAGCCUGCGGUUUAAUUGGACUCAACGCCGGACAGCUCACCGGAUAGGACAGCGGAAUGAUAACCGGGCUGAAGACUCUGUUUGACUAGCUGAGAGGUGGUGCAUGGC